rfam:Oryza rufipogon genomic scaffold, chr09
AAUACAUGACGCCGUUGACUUUUUCUCACAUGUUUGACCAUUCGUCUUAUUUAAAAAAUUUACGUAAUUAUAAUUUAUUUUUGUUAUGAGUUGUUUUAUCACUCAUAGUACUUUAAGUGUGAUUUAUAUCUUAUACAUUUGCAUAAAAUUUUUAAAUAAGACGAAUGGUCAAACAUGUGAGAAAAAAUCAACGGCGUCAUCUAUU